GACGAAGAUACAGACGGAGCAGUAAUCGUUUUUUUCGGUACCACUUUCGUUUUCACCCUUUUGCAAGCCCCUCUCGUUUUCUGUAAUAUGCUUGCGUUGGUUAACCCCUUGAACGGGCGAAAUGAGCGAACUGUCAAACGAGUUGUCAACAACUUUGCAUGUUUACAUAAUAUUGAACGAUUCUGCUGCUUGAAACACAGAAAAUCAAGGUGGCCGGGGUAGAAUCCUGGAACACCGGGAAAAAGAACCUCCGGAGAGCUUCGAUACGGCUACGGGGGGAACGACUGAAAUUUUCGAUCCAGAUAAUAUUGCGGCAUUCUUGGAGAAAGUGAAGCAGGAUGGCUGGGAGCGUAUCUGAUCUGAUCAUGUGCGACGGAGAGUUCGCAAAGAACUGUGACUGGCAUCAUCUCGAAGCUGCUGUAGUUGUUUGGUGCUGCUGGCAGUGGCGGUGAACCGACCAGAAAACGCUGUUGUGAAGUGUUUGAUCUGUACACACCGUUAGUGUCGACCAGUGGAACCAAUUGUGCAAUUCAUAAGCAUGCGCAUAAGCACCGUGCAGGAGAACGGUGUGUGGCGGAGAAGAAUGAACCACGAGCUCGCUGCACUUUAUGGCGAACCCAGCAUCCAGAAGGUAGCCAAAGCCGGAAGGAGACGGUGGGCAGGGCAUGUUGCAAGAAUGCCGGACAACAACCCUGCAAAGUUGGUGUUUGCUAACCAUCCGGUUGGUACAAGAAGGCGUGGAGCGCAGAGAGCACGAUGGGCGGACCAGGUGGAGCGUGAUCUGGCGAGUGUUGGGCGUGACCGACGUUGGAGAGCUGCAGCUGCAAAUCGAGUAUUAUGGCGGCAAAUUGUUGAUUCAGUAUUAUCAUGAAUUUGAUGUUAACUAAAUAAAUGAAUGAAAGCAUGCGCAAAGUUAGA